UACGGGGGGGGCAAGCGUUGUUCGGAAUUACUGGGCGUAAAGGGCUCGUAGGCGGCCAACUAAGUCAGACGUGAAAUCCCUCGGCUUAACCGGGGAACCGCGCCUGAUACUGGAUGGCUUGAAUCCGGGAGAGGGAUGCAGAAUUCCAGGUGUAGCGGUGAAAUGCGCAGAUAUCAGGAGGAACACCGGUGGCGAAGGCGGGUCUCUGGGCCGAUACUGACGCUGAGGAGCGAAAGCGUGGGGAGCGAACAGG
rnacentral:rRNA from 1 species